AAGGAAGUACCUUUGAAGGG
rnacentral:miRNA from 1 species